AUUGAACGCUGGCGGCAGGCCUAACACAUGCAAGUCGAGCGGAGCGGCGGACGGGUGAGUAAUGCCUAGGAAUCUGCCUGGUAGUGGGGGAUAACGUCCGGAAACGGGCGCUAAUACCGCAUACUAUCAGAUGAGCCUAGGUCGGAUUAGCUAGUUGGUGGGGUGAAGGCCUACCAGGGCGACGAUCCGUAACUGGUCUGAGAGGAUGAUCAGUCACACUGGAACUGAGAGACGGUCCAGACUCCUACGGGAGGAAGCAGUGGGGAAUAUUGGACAAUGGGCGAAAGCCUGAUACAGCCAUGCCGCGUGUGUGAAGAAGGUCUUCGGGUUGUAAAGCACUUUAAGUUGGGAGGCGGUACCCGCAGAAGAAGCACCGGCUAACUCCGUGCCAGCAGCCGCGGUAAUUC
rnacentral:rRNA from 1 species